rnacentral:lncRNA from 1 species
UGAUAGAUAGUACCGAUUGACAGAUAGGUAGACUGACAGAGCAGGAGACCCCCAGAUGAAGCUGUCUGAGAACAAUUCGACGGGGAGUGCUUCGGGUCGGGGUGUCCAACCUGCGGAACCGGGCGUCUCUCUUAAAAGGGGGACCCACCGCCCAGGCCCCUUCUGUCCGGAUGAACACGCCCGCUCCUUUCUACGCUCGCCUCUUGGCCCCAGUUGGAUCUCUGUUUAUUCCAUCAGGAUCUCCGUUUCGCCCAUUUGGUUGCCGAUGGAGCUAAGAGAGAAGCCCCCUCCGUUUCCCAGCAAGCGGCCAGGCUGUCGCGAAGGUCGGGGACACAGGUGAGGCCGGGAAAACUGCGAGAUCCAGAGACUGCGGAAAGAGGUGGAGAGUUGGACCAAGUCAGAGGGAAGCGGGAACAGCCUCGUCUCUGAACGGCAGCCUUCCCGCCGCUUCCCCCCAUCACCCCGGCCCGAGGAGUUUAGUUCGAGCAGCAACUGGGCGGCUUCUGGGCGUCGGAGGACCGGGGAAAAGCCCGAGGCUGGCGGCUCUCCGGUCCCGCAGGGCCAAACUGCAGGCAUCUGGGGGAUUGAAACCAACGACUUAUGGCCAAAAUGCACUGUGUCAUUCAUCUUAUCGGUCAGUCGGUAUUUAUUGAGCACUUACUGGGUAAUAGAGCACCCGCACUAACUGCUUAGGAGCGUACAGUGGGGUCUGUGGAUGGCAACUCUCUCUCCAGAGAACUUGCGGGUUAGCAGGAAAGAGACACAAAAAUAAAUUAAGGAUGGCGAAGAGCGGACUCCAAGGAGAGUGCUGCGAGGGUGUGGGUGAGGUGAGCAUCAGAAUGAUGCCUUAAAUGUCAGUCCAUAAAUCGGCCGUCUCCCAUCUCAAUUCAACCGGUGUUGUAGGGUCAGGGCUUUCUCGUUAAGUCCAGCACCGAUGCGGUAGUUGAUGAGUCUCCAUUUUUUUUCCAUUGGGAAUCCAGAAUUUUCUCUCUGCUCCCGAAGAGCAUCUGAACAAAUCAGAGCCACCCUCUCCAUCCGCCUAGCCGGGGGGCUCCGCGGGCAGCCCACUCCCCCGAAGGUUGAGCCCCGCAGAGGUCUGGGUGAUCGGUCAGCGGGGGGCGGUGAAAGGGAAUUUUUCUUUCCGAGUUCUGAAAUCGGAGUUCUGAUUAACUCGGCAGUGGGCAACGCGAGGGGCAAAUCAGACCGACAGCUUCAGGAGGUCGGGUAGUCGGUUCUCGCAUCCCCUCUGCCGUUUGGCACGGGGGAUUGCUUGGGACUUUAAACAUUUCAUCUGAUUUUUUUUAUUUAAAUAGACCUUCGCAGUUCUUCUUUUGCCUUUUUCCAAUGCCGGUUAAGUUCAUUACUCCAGACGAGAACUGAGAAUGUUUGCUUUCAUCUGAACCGGAGUGCGUCUGGAUUGUGUUACAGGGCGACUACGAAAAAUCAAAUGCAUUCUGAACUAAAUAAAACAAUAAAAACAGGAAAGGGUAAAACUGGUCCAAAUUUUGUUUCAUGAAAUGUUUCAAAUUCUUUGACUAAAAUUUGAAGUAUCCCUCUCGUUUCUUAAUUCAACCUGGGGAAAGGAAAUUUAAUCUUCAAGGAGAUUUACUUUGAAAUAAUCAAAAUCACAUUUCGAAAACCCAAAUGGGAUAACUGAACACUAGCUGUCAAGCAGUCUUAACCAACUCUUUGAGCCUGAUUUUUCUACAGCGGCAUUUUGGGUUCAACAUACAGCAACUCCAAGUCCAGAAUAUAGAGCUCUGCCUCCAAGUCCGUACACUCGAGAUGGAAAUUGGAAUAUAGUAAAACAGGAUUAGAUGCCAGCCGCGAUAAUGGGGAAAGCCUAUUUUUAUUUAUUUAACGGCACAUCAAAGAGGAAACUAAAGUGAUUCUAAUGGAUGAGGGGUUUUGGUGUCACAGGUAUUCCCAACGCACGCAAGUUACCUACUCCCAUCCAGCUAGAGUAUCGAUUAUUUACUCGGUGCAGAGCGUCGUGCUUAGCACCUGGGCGAGUGCUUGCGGACGCAUGAUUUCUGCCCAGUUUGAGCCGACAGCGUGCAUUUCCUGCGGACAAUAAUUCCCUUUCUUGGAAUUCUGCGACGGCCCUCUCGCUCAACAUUUACUGACGUCACUCGACUACCGUAAUUUCAACGGUUUACUCUUUCUUCGUUGCUUUGCCUUGUUCAACCGUGAACAGGUUUGUUUCUGAAAAGCAUCUAGGUGAGCCUGGCAUGCCCUAAUAGCUAUUACCCCCGCCUUUU